GGCAAGGGUACUGGAGUGGGGUGCCAUUGCCUUCUCUGAGCCAGGUGUCUAAAUUAACAUAAAAUACUUUCUUCCCCCAGUCAUAAAUGGAAAAGGAAAGCAGUUAAAAGAUAAUCCAUACAGUAUAAUUUUUGUUCUGCUGAACUUUACCACUGCAUAACUUUACACACACAAUUGUUUGUUUAAAAAAUCAAAAUGUGAAAGUUUGAAAAAAUUGUCAUAUAUAUUUACGAGGGUUUAUAGUAUUCUCUCUACCCUUCUCUAUUUGUAAUAUUUCAUUUAAAAAGUGCAACACAAAAAAUAAAAUGACCUGAGUAAGUUCUGGUAUUUUUGAUCUUCAUCCCUGAUCUAGUCCUAUGAAAAACUACAGGAAGACACAGAAUGAAUAAUUUUUCCUUUUAGAAUGUGCCCAGGCAUACCAAUACAAUAGCUGAAAGCUAUUAUAACUGUAUAAUUGAAAUUAUACAGAAUGUUUAAAAGUUUUAAAAUUGAGAUUUCUUAAAAGACUCAUAUAAAGAAUUGUGUGUAGAUAAAUGUUAAUGCUUUUUUGUUUCCACUCUGGAAAACCACUCAGCAGGCCUCUCUGCCCUUAGUACAUCACAGACUUUUUAGUGCUACAGUAUUAUCUGGCAUUUAGAAAAUUCCCUGGCAUCUGAAUCUGUUAAAAUAGCAAACUAUCUAACAGAAAAAAAAAUAAUAACUUUACAUAUCUUAAUGUAAACUUCAAAAUUCAGAUGCUCCAUCAGUAUCAAAAUUAAGCAGUUUAUUAGCUAUUCAUCAGCCUUUUCUUCAUUAACCAACUCUAUGUAAGCCAAGUGUCUCUGAUGCAGUAAACCUUUAGAGUUCAAAUAAAUUUAGUUCAAUUCUAUGUUGUGUUAUGUAUUUCUAAUACGUAAUCAAAUUCUUUACUGUCUAACAACUUGGUUAUUAUGGAUUUACUGUAAUUUCUUUUCAGUCUAUAGACUUCGGAAAUUUGCAUGAUUGUUUUAAUGGUGUAUUUGCAGAUAAGUUUUUAUUUGCACAUAAGGACAAAAAGGUGAAGUGAAAUUUGGUCCCAAUGGAAACCUGUUAGGUUCCCUGAACAUAUGGCUCAUUGGGCUGUUACUUCCUUUUUGAGAUCAUUUUCCAAGAUUUUUUAAUAUAUACAUCAACUUGACACCAGUUAUAAAGAAAAUAUAUUGACUUUGUAGAUGCCUCCACCUGGGGAACAUCUCUCAAAAACAAACCAUGCAGUCAGGUGCACCUUUAAAUGUACAGGUGUCCAGGCUCAAGAACAGGGCAUCAUUUGAAAUUAGUCAGAACUGACAGUUGAUUUUACACUGUCUUUGAAAUUAGGUAGUUCUUUGGAUUCUUAGAAUGCCACAAUGACUUGAUUAAUACAAUUAGGGGUGACUACUUAAAACUACUUUUUUACAGAAGGCUGUGCAUUUGGAACCUACAGUAUUACAAUGAUUUCUCUCAGUAAAUACAAGUGAUGUAAGUCUCAUUUAUUGAAAGUGUGUGGUGCCAGCUUAAGGGGAAAAUCACAGCACUUUGAAAAAGAUGUAAAUGUUCCAUUGGUAAAAAAGGGGGGAAAACCGUGCUAAAACAUGUGCCUAUUUCCAUUAUGCUUAAUUUACUAUUCAAAACAAGUUUUUCCUAAUAAGCUCUAUUGUUUCUUUCUGUUUUGUAAAAUUUAAUAUGUGUGAGACAAAAACCAGAUUCAGAAUGUGAAUGAAGUCUGGUUAGCGAAAGCUUGUUGGAGCUUUCAGUUCAAGGAGGGCCUCAAAUUAAAAGACAUAUCACAUUAUGACACUGAUAAUAUAUAAGGGAGAAAAGUGUCUCAGGUUGUUUCCAGAACCAGUUACAGUUAGAUUGCUAAAUUCCUCCAGCCUCCGAGCGAAUAAAGUGCAGCAAACACCAGAAUAUUCAGAAUGAUAGUGCUGCAAAUAUUUACUAAGUAACUUUAAUUUUUGCUUUAUUGCAGUUCUCUUCUUUCUGAGAUUGAGAUUCCCAAACAGGACUGAAAUAUAAGUUCUCAAACAUGUCAUCCCCUUGUCUUAUCUGUACAAGGUCGUUUGUCUUUAAGUCAGUCACACUUUUCCAGAAUAUUUGCACCUGAUUAUGGAAGCUCUUGAUGCCUAACUGGUCUCUCUCCUUUGAAUAUCUCCUCAGGAUCUGAAAUGCCUGAUAACCUGGAGUAUGCCCAUGCCUCCUUUGCUGUUUAGGUCUAUAUCAUGAUUACAUUUUUAAAAUAUCCUGCUUGUACCCUUUGGAAGCACUGUACAAAAGAUGAGUUAUCACUUAUUAAUUCAAGGAAUGAUUGUUUUAGAAAUAACCAAACCUUAAAGACUGCUUUCUUUUUGUGUGGACCAAAAACAUUAAAAAACUCAAAAAAACAAAAAGACUGUCUCUAAAGAGAAUGAAUGAGUCCUUCAAACCUACUCAAGAAACCCAUCUCAAGCUCUCCUGCCUUUCAAUCCACUAUUUUUUCCAUAAUAAUCCUUCACCUCAAGAUAGAAAUAACUUUUCACUGUCUUUGUACUUGCCUUCACAGGAAGCUUAAAUCACUUUAUAUCUGGAAUCUUUUGUACCCAAAGAAACUAACUAAUAUGCUAAACCACAGAGACAUUAGAGAGCCCGGCAUUCCCUGACCAUGAGAUGGGGUGGUUAUUGGGGUGAUUAUCGAUUUAUCACCACCCUAACACAGGGCCCCAGAACUUGUCUGCUGGGAGAAGCAUCUUAUAGCACACUGAGUGUGAGAUUCCCCAUACCUCCUCCGAUGAGCAAACAACAAGAGUUGGAAUGUAUUUUGUAGCGUGAGACACAAUCUGAGGUAGGAGAAAAGGUAAAAAGGAUUUGUACCUCUAAAACAUGGAGUUAGAGGUAUGACACCCAAACCACAAUGCUAAUUGUUUAAUAGUCCAAAUUCUAAAUCAAAGGUUAUAGUUUGUAUAGGAAAUUAAAAGAAAAAAGUCAACCAGUAUGAACUGGAAGUGAGCCUAUGUAUUUUCUAAAACUAUUAAUCUGGAACUAAAACAUAUUCUAAACCAAACAAACACUUCAUUUGCUUCAAGAACCAGCCUUUGCUUGUCUCCUUGGACUUGAGACUCAGGAGGAGGUCUCAGCUUUAUAUUCUCUUCCCUAGAGUGUUGGUGAAUCAACUCUGAAAACAGCUCUCAUUAGACAAAUAGUUUCUCCAUUUGCAGUUGUUAAAUGGCACUAAUCGCCAGUAAGAAAGGGGCAUCCUGUGUGAGUGUAUUCAUACAACUUCAAGCAAUUGGUUUAAAAGGAAGGCAAGCUCACUGGGAAUCUGAGGUAUCAGUAAGGGUGAUAAAGCUUGCUGGAAAAAGCUCUCUCUAACCAGGACUGAGGAAGAAAUGCAAGCAGCAGGCUUCCUCUGCUAAAGCAGCUUUGUGACACACUCACACAUACACACACUCUCUCUCUCUCACACACACACACACACACACACACUCACUCGCUCACUCCAAUAUCCUGAGGUUUUAUUACUGGCAUUUUGAAAGUCUCUUCCUUCAGCAUCUAUAAGGGAAGACCAGGAUGAGAUCUAUUUGUAGGUUAGGGCACUUGGUGAAUUUUAAAGCAGAUUUUGCUCCACCUUUCCAUCUUUAAAGUUAUCAAGUCCCAACUUAGUUUAUUUUGAAAUACAAUUAAUACCAAGGAGUAGUGUGGCUCUAUAGCAAGAGUUAGAAAAAAACACAUAAUCCCAAUUUGGAAGUACCACUGUAAGUGACACUCCACUUUCAGAGGGUGCUAUAGUACCCUGGACUGGCUUGGAAGGAAACUGGCCACAGAGGGAGCACUGGGCCAUUGUCUAGUCAAGAGUCAACAAGAGUCAAAAAACCCUGCCGCUUCUGCCAAAACAUAAGGACAUUUCCAAACAUUGCAGUCAUUUCUUCCUGGUUCACCCUACAAUAUGCUUGGGAGUAACUCAUAUGCUGUGGGGGUAACUCAUUUCCUUUCCAAGGCAAAGCCCCACUAAAAAUGUCUCGAAUAUCCCAAUUAGUAUACAUCAGAGAAUGACCCUUGCUUCCUCAAUCUAGUAUUUUUUAGUUAGGAUUGCCUGGUUUAGCAAAUAAAAGUACAGGAUGCGCAGUUAAAUCUCUGUUUCAGAUAACUAAUAAAUAAUUUUUUUUUGCUGUAAGAAUGCCCUGUGCAAUGUUGGCACUCCUAUUUUUAAUAUCUUGUUGACUAAAAAGAUGUGAAAUCAAGUCUUAACAGAUAUUUCCCUAGUUUUUUACUUUUUGUGGAUUUGGGGGUGGGGGUGGGGAUCAGGUGCAGAUCAGAUAUGCCUUUUGUGCCUGGAAUUUUCUUUCUUCCUUUCUCAUUCCGCAGGGAAAGUCUCAGUGCCUCUUAAGCAUCUCUCAGCCUCUGCUCUACACGCUACUCCCCUUGCUUUUGAUUAUACAAGGUUUUGCGUUGUAUUGAAAUUUUUGUGUGUGUAUCUAGUCUCCUCUAGGAUGAUGUGAGCUUUUUCAAAGGGAGAAAGACCUUAUCACCUGGCUUCCACCCUUCCACAGGCUUCCCUGGCGCCUGGCUAGACUCUGCUUCCAGGCUGCCCAGGUGGACGAGGAGACGCUGCGGGAAUUCUCCACUCCCACCUGGGACCCAGGUGCCAAGGGAAGCUGAGACUGGGCAUUUGGGCCCCUGGAAGCAUGGGCAAGGAAAGGGAGAGGACGCAGGAGCGCUAGGUCCUUCCAGCCCGGCUCUGGGAUGCGGUGAGGGCCCGAGCAGGCCCUUCCUGAGGCCCGGCCUGGAGGCCUUCUCCCGCCGCCCGGGCCUGCCUGCCUGCCGGCCGCCCGGCCCGGCCCCGCGAGGUCGAGAGCUGGGCCGCCUGGGCCCGGGGCCCCUGUAAGUGGCGGGCGGCGCGGGUACCGCCGGCUCGGAGCGCCCGGGGGUCGGGGAGGCCGGAACCCUCCGCCCCAGGCCCUUCUCCGCCCGGCCGGCCGCUCGGCGCCUCGCUACAGCCGGGCGAUUCUUCCCCUCAUUUGUUGCAUUGUUUGCAUUAAUAUGAAUAUCUUGUUCUGUUUGUUUUGUCUCCUGGGAGCCAAUAAAGCUGUGAGUUUUUUCUUUACACCAAAUGCAGCUCUACGGGCGAUCAAUCAAUGGGGUAGUCUUCGGAUAAUCUGUGAGAGUGAGAAAUCUAAUAAAACUAGCGACUAAAAAAGGAAAACAAAGUCUAUUUUUCUCUUAGGUUCACUACGUCAGGAUGAGUGUGUUCCACUUCUGCUGCUUGAGGUGUGCACAGUGGGAGCAGAUGAAGAUGUGGGACUCAUGGCUCAGUAAAAACUCUUCACAACAAUCAUGAGAAGGGGAAAUCACGUCUCAUUAGAAUGUGUCUGUAAGUUUUUCUUCAUCUUAAAGAAAAGUGCAUUUAUCUCCGAAAGAAAGCAAUAUUUCUCCCUGAAGUGUACAUUUUCUAAGUUGAAUUAAAACCAGAAUGGGUGUGGUUGUGGAA